GAUGAAGAACGCAGCGAAAUGCGAUAAAUAAUGUGAAUUGCAGAAUUCAGUGAAUCAUCGAAUCUUUGAACGCACAUUGCGCCCGCCAGUAUUCUGGCGGGCAUGCCUGUUCGAGCGUCAUUUCAACCAUCAAGCCCCAGGCUUGUGUUGGAGCCCUGCGGCUGCCGCAGCCUCCCAAAACCAGUGGCGGGCUCGCUAUCACACCGAGUGCAGUAGUUUACUCUUCGCUCAGGGCGUGUGGCGGGUGCUAGCCGUGAAACCCCCAACUUCUCAAGGUUGACCUCGGAUCAGGUAGGAAUACCCGCUGAACUUAAGCAUAUCAAUAAGCGGAGGA
rnacentral:misc_RNA from 1 species